rnacentral:tRNA from 1 species
GGAGCUUAGCUCAGCUGGGAGAGCAUCUGCCUUACAAGCAGAGGGUCGGGGUUCGAACCCCUCAGCCUCCA